rnacentral:rRNA from 1 species
GCUGACGAGUGGCGGACGGGUGAGUAAUGUCUGGGAAACUGCCUGAUGGAGGGGGAUAACUACUGGAAACGGUAGCUAAUACCGCAUAACGUCGCAAGACCAAAGAGGGGGACCUUCGGGCCUCUUGCCAUCGGAUGUGCCCAGAUGGGAUUAGCUAGUAGGUGGGGUAACGGCUCACCUAGGCGACGAUCCCUAGCUGGUCUGAGAGGAUGACCAGCCACACUGGAACUGAGACACGGUCCAGACUCCUACGGGAGGCAGCAGUGGGGAAUAUUGCACAAUGGGCGCAAGCCUGAUGCAGCCAUGCCGCGUGUAUGAAGAAGGCCUUCGGGUUGUAAAGUACUUUCAGCGGGGAGGAAGGGAGUAAAGUUAAUACCUUUGCUCAUUGACGUUACCCGCAGAAGAAGCACCGGCUAACUCCGUGCCAGCAGCCGCGGUAAUACGGAGGGUGCAAGCGUUAAUCGGAAUUACUGGGCGUAAAGCGCACGCAGGCGG